UCCGGGACGCCUGCGGGGCCCUAGCGCCGCCGCCGCCAUUUUGUGACAGGCUCUCCGCGGAAUUCCCGCUCUGCGUUUUGGGAGGGGGCCUCGUGCUGUGGGAAGCACCGCGUGAACAAGGCGUUUGCGGUUGAGAGAGGUGUCCGUGUUCCUGUCUGCACGUACACAGAGUAAAAGCGAUGUAGCUCCCCAGUGCUGAGAGCCGUUCCUUCCAAAGUUCUGCCUUAACGAUUACAUUAUCCACCUGAAGUAUUUUGAAAUGCAUCAAACUCAAGAGGGACUCAACUGAAAUUUCAAGUUUAUUUUAAAUCAGUAGGUUUGUAACAUAAAGUCAGUAUUUGCAAAAAAGCAAGAUGCACAGAAAGUAACGUUAUUUUCACAGACUGAGGGAGGGGACAGGUGCAAACAGCAUAAAAGCGUAUUUGUAUGUUUUUAUAGUAGCGCUUUAUUCAGUCAUACCGAGCCAUACUUGCAGGAAGUACCUGUUUAAAGAAACACCCUAAAAUGUCUGUGUCAAGUUGGAAACCUUGUAGCUGCAGGAGAAAAACAAAGGGCAGUUAUUUUAGUGAAUAUUACCACAUUUUCCCUUAUGUCUGUUUACGUAAGAGACUGACAGGAGGUACAAAUACACAGGCUGGAAAGUCUCAUCGAUAGGCUGCACUGAAUAGGCUCGGGAUACUUAAAAGCAGCAUCACGUUUUCCUGUGGGACGAAGACUUGAAGCCAGGCUUUGCCGCCUUUCCCCGUUGUGGUAGGAGUAGUUGUCACCAGAUGCUGUCAGACUGCGUUUGCUGGUAUUCUGAGGAGCGCUGCAUCCUUCAGCCUCAUUUGGAGGUGCGGUGUUACCUACUACUAGUCAACUCCUGAAUUAUACCAUCUGGGGCAUCCUGGAAAUACCUCAGUGCUCUGAAGGUCAGUAUUCAAUUAAUGAUUAAAAUGAGAGGCGCAAAUGGAAUUUCAGCUUUUAAUCCUCUGGAAUUUCUCCGCUCAAAGCUACGUAAUGCUUCGUCUUCCAGGGGCCUCCAGUGCGUGGCACUAAAUCAAGAAUGGUUUGGGAUACUUGAUUCUAAUUUUUGCUUUCGUUUCAAAUGGGAAAAGGGAAAUGCCAUUAAGUAUGUAGGCUAAAUGAAAGAGAAUACAAAAGCACUCUUUGGUGAGUGACUGAUAAUAGACUGGGGCAGAUGCUUACUUUGAUAGUAACUAAACCAAUAGUGUUCAAGAGCAUAGAAUAUGACGUAUAAGAAGUGUGAAAGAAAAUAAAAAAAACUACUUAAAGGAAGACGUCAUGCUGCUAAAAGUAAAUAAAGCAAAACCUUUUUUUCCUCUCCAGCGUGGAAGUGAAUAGGUUCUUCCAGAGCCUAUUGUGUAAUGUUUGGGAUUUUGCGAGACUAAAUGAUAAACAUACGCUUACAUGGAGUUAUUUUACUACUUGCUUCAUUAAUUUACAUUAACCAUACAAACAGAAAUAUUAAUUAGAACUAGGGAUAAAACCAUGUUCCUGCCAAAAUUUUUUCCUGUCUCAAGAAAUAUUUAGUAUUAGCAAAUGUAUAGCACUGAUUUUUGUGUUCUUUUAUGUAGAAUAGGGAUCUCUUACAGUUAGUGUAUUGUGUAUAGCUUCAAUUUCUAUUUAAAAUGGAUUUAUACAGCCUUCGAAGUUCAUAUUCUUCUUCCUUAAUAAUCUUCAGCAUCACCAGCACAGAUAGCAAGUAAAGCACUCUCAUAAUGCCCUGAAGCAAAAUGCUGCAAGAAAAAAAAACACAUUUCUGUGACUGUACAUUUUCUUAAUUUUUCUUUUCUUGGUGUGUGACAAGGACUAGACUGAUGUUGUAAGGUUUUGUAAAACAUUACAGUGUUUUCAUAAGGAUUCUAGGCCAAGAUUUUUCUAAUUUCACAUACCUCAGGCUUUGGUUGCGUGGGCACCUUGAAACAAUCUACCUUUGAAAGGUUGGUUCAAACCUGUUUAAUUCUUCUGAAGUUCAAUACCAAAAAAUGAUGAGCAAUUUCUUACGGUUACUGCACAUCUUACAGUUGGAUUAUAGCAUCAUAAAAAAGGUAAAGUGUCUUAGCAAGAGUCAUUGUUCUACAAUUAAACAGUGCUUGUUUUAAGAUACAGAGCAAGAGUACAAGAGCAAUAGUUUUUCUGAAGGUUGAUACUACCUAAGCACAAGGAUAAAACCAGAUUUUUAUUUCAAUUUUGCAUGAAAGUGGUAUCAGCCUAACCUUGCAGGGCGGUGUGAAAGAAGAUGGUAUCAAUUAGUGUAGAAACUAUUCAUGCAAACUGUUCCUCAGCAUUCACUGUCCUUCCCUGUUUAUAUCCUCUUCUUGCUCUUGGGGAGGGUCAAAACCACAUAGAAUGAGAAUGAGCUGAGAAUUCACUGCUCUCUUACUGAAGUCAGCCCGAGGCACUGAAAAGAUAGCUUAUUGUUUUUAUACAUUGCCUUUUUUUUUUUUUUUUAAACCCAAGUGAUUGAAUGGAGAUUAACGCUCUGUAUUUUUCUGGUAGGGCUUGGCACAGUCUAUGUGGUGCCAGUGCUGAACAGAUGCAAAAGUCUGUAAAAACUUACUUUAAUGUCAUGAAAGAGUGAUUUCCCAUAUCUCUCUUUGUAUCGCUGUCGUAUAUUCAUCAAGUCAAUCUCACUCCUGGCAAU